AUUGAACGCUGGCGGCAGGCCUAACACAUGCAAGUCGAGCGAGCGGCGGACGGGUGAGUAAUGUCUGGGAAACUGCCAGAUGGGGGGGGAUAACUACUGGAAACGGUAGCUAAUACAGCAUACCAUCAGAUGUGCCCAGAUGGGAUUAGCUAGUAGGUGGGGUAACGGCUGACCUAGGCGACGAUCCCUAGCUGGUAUGAGAGGUUGACCAGCCAAACUGGAACUGAGACACGGUCCAGACUCCUACGGGAGGCAGCAGUGGGGAAUAUUGCACAAUGGGCGCAAGCCUGAUGCAGCCAUGCCGCGUGUGUGAAGAAGGCCUUCGGGUUGUAAAGCACUUUCAGCGGGGAGGCGUUACCCGCAGAAGAAGCACCGGCUAACUCCGUGCCAGCAGCCGCGGUAAUUC
rnacentral:rRNA from 1 species